CACGUAGGGCGCAAGCGUUGUCCGGAAUUACUGGGCGUAAAGGGCGCGUAGGCGGAAUGGCAAGUCGGUCGUGAAAUCCUUCGGCUCAACCGAAGAACGUCGAUCGAAACUGCCGUUCUUGAGGAUUGCAGAGGAGACUGGAAUUCCCGGUGUAGCGGUGAAAUGUGUAGAGAUCGGGAGGAACACCGGUGGCGAAGGCGGGUCUCUGGGCAAUUCCUGACGCUGAGGCGCGGAAGCGUGGGGAGCAAACGGG
rnacentral:rRNA from 1 species